GAUGAACGCUGGCGGCGUGCCUAAUACAUGCAAGUCGAGCGAACAGACGAGGAGCUUGCUCCUCUGACGUUAGCGGCGGACGGGUGAGUAACACGUGGAUAACCUACCUAUAAGACUGGGAUAACUUCGGGAAACCGGAGCUAAUACCGGAUAAUAUAUUGAACCGCAUGGUUCAAUAGUGAAAGACGGUUUUGCUGUCACUUAUAGAUGGAUCCGCGCCGCAUUAGCUAGUUGGUAAGGUAACGGCUUACCAAGGCAACGAUGCGUAGCCGACCUGAGAGGGUGAGCGGCCACACUGGGACUGAGACACGGUCCAUACUCCUACGGGAGGCAGCAGUAGGGAAUCUGCCGCAAGGGGCGGAAGCUUGACGGAGCAACGCCGCGUGAGUGAUGAAGGUCUUCGGAUCGUAAAACUCUGUUAUUAGGGAAGAACAAAUGUGUAAGUAACUAUGCACGUCUUGACGGUACCUAAUCAGAAAGCCACGGCUAACUACGUG
rnacentral:rRNA from 1 species